UAGUACGCGAGUGAAGCGGGAUGAGCUCAAGCUUAAAAUCUCUGUCACAAAUUUAUUUUGUGCGGCGAAUUGUAGUCUAUAGAGGCGUGAUCAGUGUAGGCGCUUGAGGUAAGUUCCUUGAAAAAGGACAGCAUGGAGGGUGAAACUCCCGUUCAUACUUAAGUGGCUUGCACGUACGAUUCGUUUUCUUUGAGUCGCGUUGUUUGAGAAUGCAGCGCAAAGUAGGUGGUAAAUUCCAUCUAAAGCUAAAUAUUGGUGCGAGACCGAUAGCGAACAAGUACCGUGAGGGAAAGAUGAAAAGAACUCUGAAAAGAGAGUUAAAGAGUACCUGAAACUGCUGAAAGGGAACCAAAUCGUUUCUAGUGUCUAUAAUCUAUGACAUAUUUCAUUGGGAAGUGUGUGCGUGUGUAUACUAUGGCAGCGGCUUUUUUUAGUUGCGCUUGGUGUGCGUGCUGUAUGUACUAACUGAUGCCCUGUGUUAUAGUGGGACGUCAAGGUCAGUUUGUAUACUGCGGGAAAUGGCUACUGAGGAGGUAGGGCUUACGCUUGCGUUUGUCUAUUAUAUCUUGGUAGUUGUGUCGUGGUUGAGACUGAGGUGUUCUACAACGUGCUUAUGAGUGGGUCUACGUCUCCGUGUGCGCCGUGUGCAGAUAGCUUGCUAUGUGUAUGUGGUGGUGUGUGGAUUGAUAUGGGCUUUAUCUUACUGCCGKUC
rnacentral:rRNA from 1 species